UCUUUCCCCACUGUGGCUUCUCCUCAAAAGCAAGUUCUUGGUUUUGCAGCGUGGAAUGAUAUAGCGUGCAUCACUUCUUUCCUUCUCCUUUUCUUCCUCUUCAUUGUUCUCCCUGAUUUCUUUCCCCUUCCCACCAGCACUGAAGAUCAGCAGGGCUGCUGCUUCUCCCCAAAGCACUGCAGUGACCCUGAGCAGGGGCUGGGCAAAACUCAGCCGCUGCGGAUACCCAGGCCCAGCUGGUGAAGCAGAGGCAACAGACGACCUGCAGGACAUUUUGUUGCCCCCUGUGUUUUAUAACUUCCUUUUUACUGCAGCUAGGUGUUGGUUUUGAUCUCCUCUGCUGAGCUGGAAUUAUCUGUGUGCAGCAAACUAAGCAUCUGCUUUCUCUGCCGUGCCCCUGUGUCAUUUGGCUGAGGACUUAAUUAAGCACAGGGCUGUUAAGCGCAGCUUAGAGAAGGGAGCCAGCUGAGCGUGCUCCUUGCUGGCUGGGCUGCGUGGGAUGAGCGUGGAAGCUGCCGGUUGCUCCAGCACUGAACCACAGGGCAGAGCUAUGCUCCAGAGGCGUAAUGAAACCCUUCAGAGACACAGACACCAGCAGCUACGGAGGAAAUGCUCCCUUCCACACCGGGCUGGUGUCUCCGUCUGCUUGGGGACUGUGGGUCCCUCCUGGGGGAGGCUGGCUCCGUGCCUCCAGCCCCUGAUGUUCGCACACGUCUGGGUUCAGUGUGUGCCCCUGGGGUGGCUCAGCUGAGACGAGAAUAAAGUCACGGCUAGGUGCAGUCAUUUAGCUGUCUUGCUCUUUGCAGAGGAGGCUGCAAGUCCUAAUGCUGCUGAUUGCAACCCAGGCGUUUCAAACUGAUGUACAGACCCACGAAGUUGAUUUUUCUUCUCUGCAGUGUUCUCUUUUCCUUUGCAACAUUUCAGUGUGAAAUGUGUUUUAGUGCUGAUAUAUCUCUUAAAUGUCCCUUGGAUUUCUCAGAUCCACAAACCAAGUCUUUCAGAAGUAUUUAGAUGCCUGGAGGAGUUUUAAAUUUCCCAACCAUCUGGGUUCAGAGAACUGGAUUUUUGAAGCAUUCUUCUUUUUGUUGCAUAUAGUGCUACUAGGCUUGACACAAAGACCCCAAAAAGUGUUUUGGUAUCUAACUCCUCUGUAAAUAUCUUUUUAAAAAAUUAUUAUUAUUUGUAAAUGAAUUUAAGCUAAAAAGCUGGUCCAUAUUAUGAAGUUUCAUUAACAGACUUUGCUUCAUGGAACAAUACCUUUGCAUCUGUCUUCCACUGGAGACCUGUUGUUCUUUAGUUAAUUUAACCUGGUAAAACUCAGUUUUGGCAUAAAUUAUCUCUCAGGUAGAAUGGGAAUGUGGUCUGGGUGUUUUCCUGUGGUGACAAGCUGGUGCUCUGGAACAAUCCCCCAGCCCUUUGGCAUUACAGCAGUUGCCCUGGGCUGCGUUUUAUAAUGCUGCUCUGUAGGAACUGUGCUUAGAAAUGUAAAGUUUCCCAGUUCUGUUAGCGAAUACACAGAGCAUCAGCAAAGAUGCACACGCUCUAGUAAAACUGUUGUCAGCAGGUGGGUGCUGAUCAAAAUGCAAUCUGUAAAACUUUUCAAGCAAGAGGCAGUGGUGUAAAGCACUUAGAGCUCACACUACUGAGUAGAUGAAUGUAUCUGAAACGUUGGCUUCUGAAUUGUAAUGAUUUUUUUUUUUUUUUUAAAUGAGUUAUGUGCCUGACCAUCCUCUGUACUUCUGAAAAUCUGAGUUUGGUGGUUACUCAAUAUAUAAAUGCACUUGAGAAUAUUUUCUUAAAUAAUGUGGUAGUUAAAAAUGCUGAGCUGCCUACACUGAUAUGCUUACUAUUUCUGUGGGGAAACUGCGGGAUUCUUUUUAGGUAAUUACAACACAGGCUUGGCGAGAACAAGCCCCGCUGAUCCUGCCUGAUAUGUGACUGCACACCUAACAGACUGAGCGGUGGCUCUUCGGUUCAAUUUCUUACAGUGAGAUGUGGAUGGCCUGAGGUUAUUGGAAAUCCUGCUAUUACUUGUGGAGAGCGACGGUUUCUGCACCAGCAAAAUGCGGGAUGAAGCCUUGGAGCAGACAAAUAGGCAGAGGGAGCAGGAGAGAUCUAAGCCUGGAAGCAGGCUGCCUCUGCUGCACUCUGUAAAAUCGAUUGCUUUUCUUGUGUUAAAUCAUUCCCUUUCAUACCAUCAGCUGUACUGUGCGGGCUGCUGUAUUACUGUGGGUAUUGCAGCAGGUUGCUAGUAAAAUAAUUCCGCUUAAGUAUGUUCUAAGAAUAAAUUACAGCAUUAUCUCUGUCCUGUCGGCGUUGCACAGCAAUAAUAAUCUGUUGCUACAGAUUGCCAGCAGAAUUACAAAAGGAAGGUGGAUGUUUCUGGCUAUUGUGAUGGACUUCUGUCUCCAAACAGCUAUUUUCUUUCUGAAAGGUAUUUCUCAGAUUGUUUUGGUUACAGCUACAAUAAAAAUAAUUUAAAACCCCCCAAAACACAUUUGGAUGUUUUAUGGAAAUGUCAAUGCCUUUUGCUGUUCUUGCUUA